rnacentral:lncRNA from 1 species
GCAGUUGCUUCAUGUGUAAGAACGCUGUCCCACAGAGGCUGGGGCCAUGGCUGCCACAUUCACUCUUUCAUCCCCAGAGUCCACAGCAGAUGAGACAAUCAACUUUCAUUGAAUGGACUACUGAGGGGCUUGGUAAUGGAACUGAAGAAAUCUGAAUGAAUUGUCUGAUGCAUCGUGACUAAGCUUGGAAUGUGCCAACUGUCCCCCAGGAGUGGCCCUUGGACAGCAGAGCUGGAGCGCCGGGACUCUGAGUGCAGGAAGGAGGCCGUGCUCCAGGAGAGCCAUUGACAGAGCUGCUCUGGAGUUCUGGAAGUGCUUGGAGGGUGUGGGCGUUGUCACAUGAAUCUGUGGCACCAGCCUGUUGGCUUUCUGGUGAAGGGGUGGUGGCACAGUCUGCUGUCGUGCCUCUGGUGGUCCA